UUUGUUAGCGUAGAGGGUGGUUAUGAGCCUGCCCUUGGACGAUAUAGAUCCUGAUCGUUUAGAGGAUUUUUCAGAACGUUUACUCUACACUGCAGUAAGAGCAAUUCUAAGACAUUUGAAUAUGGACGGGACUGAUUUGGAUGAGGUGGAUGUUGAGGUUGGGGAAGGGAUGGAGGAAGAUAAGUACGGAGAUAUGGAGUGGAUGGAUUUGAAGGGAAACAAGCCACUCAACACUCCAGAGGAUUGUCUGGAAUAUUGGAAUUCCUGUUUUAAAAAGG